GUGGAUUAGAUAGCCGGGUAGUCCAUGCCGUAAACGUUGGGCACUAGGUGUGGGGUCUGUUUCCACGGAUUCCGCGCCGUAGCUAACGCAUUAAGUGCCCCGCCUGGGGAGUACGGCCGCAAGGCUAAAACUCAAAGGAAUUGACGGGGGCCCGCACAAGCGGCGGAGCAUGCGGAUUAAUUCGAUGCAACGCGAAGAACCUUACCAAGGCUUGACAUGCACGGGAAGCCACCAGAGAUGGUGGUCUCUUUGGACACUCGUGCACAGGUGGUGCAUGGUUGUCGUCAGCU
rnacentral:rRNA from 1 species